rnacentral:RNase_P_RNA from 1 species
CCAGCGGGCCGGGUGGUCGCCUCCCGCCGAGAGCGGGGGGAGGAAGGUCCGGGCUCCACCGGGCAGCGCGCUGGGUAACACCCAGGCGGGGCGACCCGCGGAAAGUGGCACAGAAACCAUACCGCCCGCCGUCCCUCCGGGCGGCGGGUAAGGGUGAAAAGGUGGGGUAAGAGCCCACCAGCGGCAGGGCGACCUGCCGGCUGGCCAAACCCCGCGCGGAGCAAGGCCAAAUAGGAGGGCGUGCCCUGGACACCGCCAGGGCUAAGGGUGCCCGGCCCGAGACCCUCGGGUAGGCCGCUUGAGCCUCUCCGAAAGGGGAGGCCCAGAGUGAUGACCACCGGUCGCCCUCUCGAGGAGGACGACUACAGAACCCGGCCUAUAGGCCCACUGGCCCG